rnacentral:rRNA from 1 species
CUAAACCGCUUUCGCCUGUGACGAAGCGUGAGUGACGGUAAUGGGUAAAGAAGCACCGGCUAACUACGUGCCAGCAGCCGCGGUGAUACGUAGGGUGCGAGCGUUGUCCGGAUUUAUUGGGCGUAAAGGGCUCGUAGGUGGUUGAUCGCGUCGGAAGUGUAAUCUUGGGGCUUAACCCUGAGCGUGCUUUCGAUACGGGUUGACUUGAGGAAGGUAGGGGAGAAUGGAAUUCCUGGUGGAGCGGUGGAAUGCGCAGAUAUCAGGAGGAACACCAGUGGCGAAGGCGGUUCUCUGGGCCUUUCCUGACGCUGAGGAGCGAAAGCGUGGGGAGCGAACAGGCUUAGAUACCCUGGUAGUCCACGCUGUAAACGGUGGGUACUAGGUGUGGGGUCCAUUCCACGGGUUCCGCGCCGUA